GUUGGGCUAUUCCGUCGUGUCCAGGCCAACAUCGGUUCUGGGGGUCGGUUAAAGGCUCGGGGAAUGUAUCUACCCUCCGGGCGUAGACUUAUAGCCCCGAGUGUCAUGCGGCCUCCCGGGACCGAGGAACGCGCUUCGGCUCGGAUGUUGGCGUAAUGGUUGUCAGCGA
rnacentral:rRNA from 1 species